rnacentral:lncRNA from 1 species
GGAAGCUCCUCCCCUACCACCGGCCUUGCGGAAACUGGGUCUGCCAACCUGCUCCUUGGCCCAUUCCUGACAGCCAUACGCCUGGCCUCACAGCUCCGGCAGACCCCCGCCGCCACCAGCCCCGCCCCUCCCGACUGCCCGGCGGCACUCUCGCCCUCAGCCCCGACAGCCUGGCAGGCAGCGCCCCACGAUACUUAGUCACCUGUUCCUCCACCUCUUGAAACUUGUUUUGUUGGUAGUUGUUCUGUCUGUCAACCAGGAAUUAGAAGCAAAGUUUCCUGGGAAGAGUAUACUAAACUGAUCUCAGAGUCAGGCUACUUCCUGUGUGUACUUCCUUUCUAGUUGUAGAAUUUCGAGGAUGUCAGAUGUAAAUGUAUCUGCCCUCCCUAUAAAGAAAAUUCUGGGCAUAUUUAUAAUAAGAACAUAUCUCAGAAAGAUUGUGAUUGCCUUCAUGUUGUGGAGCCCAUGCCUGUGCGGGGGCCUGAUGUAGAAGCAUACUGUCUACGCUGUGAAUGCAAAUAUGAAGAAAGAAGCUCUGUCACAAUCAAGGUUACCAUUAUAAUUUAUCUCUCCAUUUUGGGCCUUCUACUUCUGUACAUGGUAUAUCUUACUCUGGUUGAGCCCA